rnacentral:ncRNA from 2 species
CGAACCGACGCGGGAGAGCUCCGGCCACGGCCGGACGCCGAAGGAGCAACCCUCCCCGGGAAUCUCUCAGGCCCCUGUACCGCGACGGCGAG